rnacentral:pre_miRNA from 1 species
GAUAGUGAAUAGUGUUCAGCACCGAGGACAGGUGUGUUUACCUGUGUUGAUGGCAUUUAACACCAGGGACAGGUAUGUUUACCU